rnacentral:rRNA from 1 species
UACGUAGGGGGCAAGCGUUGUCCGGAAUUAUUGGGCGUAAAGGGCGCGUAGGCGGUCAGCACAAGUCAGUUGUGAAAUCUCCGGGCUUAACUCGGAAAGGUCAACUGAUACUGUGCGACUAGAGUGCGGAAGGGGCAACUGGAAUUCUCGGUGUAGCGGUGAAAUGCGUAGAUAUCGAGAGGAACACCUGCGGCGAAGGCGGGUUGCUGGGCCGACACUGACGCUGAUGCGCGAAAGCCAGGGGAGCGAACGGG